rnacentral:rRNA from 1 species
CAUGUAGGCGGAUUAAUAAGUUUGAAGUGAAAUCCUAUAGCUUAACUAUAGAACUGCUUUGAAAACUGUUAAUCUAGAAUGUGGGAGAGGUAGACGGAAUUUCUGGUGUAGGGGUAAAAUCCGUAGAGAUCAGAAGGAAUACCGAUUGCGAAGGCGAUCUACUGGAACAUUAUUGACGCUGAGAUGCGAAAGCGUGGGGAGCAAACA